rnacentral:rRNA from 1 species
UACGUAGGGCGCGAGCGUUGUCCGGAAUUAUUGGGCGUAAAGAGCUCGUAGGCGGCCUGUUGCGUCUGCUGUGAAAUCCCGGGGCUUAACCCCGGGCUUGCAGUGGAUACGGGCAGGCUGGAGGCAGGCAGGGGAGAAUGGAAUUCCUGGUGUAGCGGUGAAAUGCGCAGAUAUCAGGAGGAACACCGAUGGCGAAGGCAGGUCUCUGGGCAUUAACUGACGCUGAGGAGCGAAAGCCAGGGGAGCAAACGGG